CGUGCGGCCCGGUUUGCCACAACGAGAAGAUCACCGCUCUGCUGAACCGCGUCAAGCCGGAGAUCCAGGGCGCCAAGGAGAAGCUGAAUGUGAUUUGUCUCUGGCUGCAGCUCCUCGUACCCCGAAUCGAAGACGGGAAUAAUUUUGGGGUGGCGGUGCAGG